rnacentral:rRNA from 2 species
CACUAACUGGAGGACCGAACCGACUAAUGUUGAAAAAUUAGCGGAUGACCUGUGGCUGGGGGUGAAAGGCCAAUCAAACCGGGAGAUAGCUGGUUCUCCCCGAAAGCUAUUUAGGUAGCGCCUCGUGAAUUCAUCUCCGGGGGUAGAGCACUGUUUCGGCUAGGGGGCCAUCCCGGCUUACCAACCCGAUGCAAACUGCGAAUACCGGAGAAUGUUAUCACGGGAGACACACGGCGGGUGCUAACGUCCGUCGUGAAGAGGGAAACAACCCAGACCGCCAGCUAAGGUCCCAAAGUCAUGGUUAAGUGGGAAACGAUGUGGGAAGGCCCAGACAGCCAGGAUGUUGGCUUAGAAGCAGCCAUCAUUUAAAGAAAGCGUAAUAGCUCACUGGUCGAGUCGGCCUGCGCGGAAGAUGUAACGGGGCUAAACCAU